CGGCAGAGCCCCGCCCUCUGGUUUCGGGAGGCGCGGCUGCCGGUGCCCCAGGUGGGCAAGUCUGGUCCGAGCUGCGGCCUGCUUACAGUCUCCUUUCAGGGCUUGAGGCCGAGGACCUAGAAGGAAGGUUGAGAUCUCUUGCUGUCCCUACAGCCCCGGAGGCUACUUGAGAAAACGCUGAUGCGGCUUCUCCAUCUUGGGCUGACUCCACCUCUCGGGCUUUCCAGGCUGGUGUUCUGUACUCUGGUUACGUGCUUGGAUCCUAUGGACACGAAGGGAGGCUGGUUUGAAAAAAAACUUGUUGGGUUGGCAUGCUUCCUCUUUCGUCUACUCAUUUGGAAAACCAAAAUCAUGAUAUUCCAACAACUAGAGAUGAUCCAACAAAGCUGCAAAUGUGUCUUCCAUUGCUAGUGCACUGCUGCUAAAGUUAUUACAAUACCGAGCAGCCUCCACCUUAGGUUCAGAGACUAUCACUGAAGAGGAGAGCAGAUCUGAAGAAGCUUGCAGCUUCUGCCUUGGUCUUUUGGAAUGUUGUCCAUGGAAUGUUUGUUUGGUUGGAACGCUCAAUCUAGGGGUAGGCAACCACCCUGAGAAGUCUGACAGAGACCACCAACCUGUGAGGAAGACCAGCUAGCCACUUGGAGAGAGAUGUCUGG